GACGAACGCUGGCGGCGUGCUUAACACAUGCAAGUCGAACGGUGAAGCGCCUUCCUUUUUGGUGGGUGUGGAUGAGUGGCGAACGGGUGAGUAACACGUGAGUAACCUGCCCCCUUCUUCUGGAUAACCGCAUGAAAGUGUGGCUAAUACGGGAUAUUCUGGGUCUGUCGCAUGAUGGGUCUGGGAAAGAUAUUGUUUCGGUGGGGGAUGGGCUCGCGGCCUAUCAGCUUGUUGGUGGGGUGAUGGCCUACCAAGGCGGUGACGGGUGGCCGGCCUGAGAGGUGGGAGGGCACACUGGGGCUGGGACCCGGGCCCAACUUCUACGGGGGGCAGCAGGGGGGAAUAUUGGACAAUGGGGGAAAGUCUGAUGCAGCGAAGCCGCGUGAGGGAUGGAGGCCUUCGGGUUGUGAACCUCUUUCGCCAGUGAAGCAGGCCUGCCUCGUUUGUGGGUGGGUUGACGGUAGCUGGAGAAGAAGCGCCGGCUAACUACGUG
rnacentral:rRNA from 1 species